rnacentral:lncRNA from 1 species
GCAUCCCAGUGACCGAAAUCACCCUUGCCACCCAGGAGCUGGGCAUCAGGUACAACUGGAGGAAGAACGAGCAAGCAGUUAGUGGACGCAGUUUGGUAUCUAUCCAGAGGAAUUGGAGAAUAAUGUAAGACUUGCUGUGACUUUGCUAGAAGACAUAAAUGCUGUUACCAAACAGGAAUUAGCUUCCUGCUUAUGAAUUAUCAUACUGCAUUCUACCAUGCCCAAGAGGAACCACAUAUGACUGUUAUGUGGUCAGCAAAGGAGCACAUGCUAUGGGCAGUGGGUGCACUGUGCUUCAUGACUACCUUCUUCAUUGCAGGCCUUUCUGCCCAGGAAGUGGACAAGCCAGUCAGGGAACGCACAGCAGAUCCAGGUUGCAUGGUCAUUCCUCCGCUUAGGGAGCCAGAAAGGCACACCUGGGAACUCCUGGGUCUCCAGCACUGCUCGCAGCAGGGCCAAGAUGGGCUGCGGGCCAGAGCAUGAAGCCCUGGAAUGACUGAAACUUAGUUUUCAUCCUGGCAACAUGGAGGCCAAAAUUAAAAUGAUGUUCAAUUAUUUAAAAUGAGUAUUUCUUCCACUGACUGUCAUGGACUAAGAUUUAUACCCCCGUACUCAUAACGCUAUUUAGGAGUUCAUGGUGCCUCUCCAUCUGUCAGCCCCUCCAUCUGUGUCUUUGCCCCUGCAUCCUGCUACCCUUUGCCAGAACCUUCUUGAUUAUCUCUACUCAAUUACUUUUCCAUGGUAACUUUCGUAGCAGAUGUAAAAACCUGGUACUUUAAUUGGAUGAGGUUUUUUUUGUCGGGGGGAAUCAGGGGAGGUGCCAAGAUUGAACCCAGAUCUUACACAUGCUAAAUGCACAAAUACCAAGCUACCUCCAAUUCCUUGGAAUGCAUUUUACAGAGUAUGUUAAUAGAAAAAUUUAAGGUUCAAUAAGGCCAGCACAUCAGGAGACAAAUGCCGUUGAAAAGGUAGUUAUUACAGUUUAAGACUAGGAGCCAUGCCACACCACACUGGGCCACAGUGGGCCAACACCAAAGUUGGUCCUGGGCAGAGGAAGAGAGAGAACUCCUGGCUUGGGCCUUUAUUGCGGGAAGAAGGGAUGGGCCCUGGGGGGCUGUCGCUGGCUGUGCGCAGUAGCCUGGAGUAAUUAGAGCAGGAUAGUGGAUGGAACGGUGGGGGAAACCACGAAAAGGCAGCCUGAGGUAUGGGUCCUGAAUGCAUGUUGUAGUCUGACGCGGUUGCUCAGACCUGUAAUUCCAGCAGUCUGGGAGGCUAAGCCAGGAGAAUCACAAGUUGCAAUCCAGCUUGAGUAGCUUAGCAAGAUUCUAAAAAAUAAAAAAGGGCUGGAGAUGUAGGUCAGUGUGAAGGCUCCAGUUUCAAUAUCCAGUAUUUAAAAAAAAAAAAAAAAGCAAGUUCUUUGCUCUCCCCAAGCCACAAAGCCCAGCAGGUGUGUUCAUUCUCACCUGGAAUUUGCUGGCCCUGGGAGGCUGGGAGUUGGGGGCAGGCCCUCUGGAACCAGCAAGGCCCAGCGUCAGGGCAUUAGAAAUACAUAACAGAGAAAGAUAUUGCUAACAUUACUAAAUGUGCAUAUAAAUAUGAAGUGAAUAUUUAGAGAAUUGGAUUUUAAAGUGUUGAUUAUUCAUCAAUGAGGUACCCUCCAAUUUGCAAAAUUGACUUUCUUUCCUUCAGUGGGGUGUUACGGUUUGUGUCUGUGUGUCCCCCCAAAGCCUCAUGCGGUCAUGGGGCAGGCUUUUACAGUUUGAUUGAUUAUGGGUGUGAGAGCUACACCUGCUCUGGGGUGGAUAGUUUGCAUAUGUAAGGGACAGGAAGGGGCUGCUUGCUGCCAUUCCUCCCUUGUGUGCUUGUUGCUUUUGCUGUGUUCUGCCGCCAUGAGCUAUAGCCCUCUGCCAUGUGCUACUCUGCCUUGUAACCUGCCAAGUAUGGACUAAAACCUCCACAAACUGUAAGAGAAAUAAACCUUGCCUUCCUUAAUUUUGGGCAUCAGGUAUUUUGUCCCAGCAAUGAGAGAAAAGUAACCAUGACAUGGGGUUUUUAACUUUUCAUCAUUUUGGCCCUAUACAACUUUUGUUAAAUUUGUCCCUAGACAUUAAUCUGCUUCAUUGCUAUUGUGAGUAAGUGAUCUACAUCCUGAGAAGUGGUGCUGGGAUCCCACACUUCAGGCUUGUGUCAGGUCUUGGCCAUCCUAUUGAAAACCUGCUCAAAUUCUCACAAGAAGUCCAUGAGCAGAGCUUUGGCAACUGUUCUGCACAUGUGCUCCAGGAUCUUGUAAUUAACAGGUUACCACUACUUCCCCAGCCAGCUUUGCCAUGCCCUAAUCUCCUAUCUCAUUUCCCCUGAGAGACACAAAACCCUAUAAUUUGUCAUAGGGUUUGAGGAAGUUGGAGAUCUCUGUUUUCUAUAGCUUCUUCAAACUGGAAGGGGCUGCAGUCACUACCUCCUGGAAAUUAUAUGCUCCCCAAUUAUCUUGGGGCUCUGUGGCUCCCUGGCUGGGUUGAAGAAAGAAAAACCUGUCAGAAAACUAUGAGAAAAGAGUUAAUUACCGUUGAGCUUCUCUAUUAGCCCAAAUAUGAGGAGUAGGUCAGAUUUCCACAUUUCCUUAGCUGCACAGGAGUCUUGCUUUUUUAAUGUUCUUUUUUAUUUUAAAGAGAAUAGAAAACAAUAAAAAUGAUACAGAAUUUCAAAGCAAGAUGAUAGGAAAUUGACAAUGGCUAUUGUAUUGCAUAUUGUUAUCUUCAAAGAGGUUGCUGAGAUUACCAG